GAAUGGCAGCUGGAGUGCUUGGUCACUCCACAGAGCACUGGCUGUGCAGAGAGCUGUGCACUUGACCUACUGCUAGAGCUCUCUAGAAACCAAGCACCAUCGUUUACUGCCAGAUAAUCAUCGUGCAGAACAGUGAAGAUGCACAAAGAAGGAACAAAUUGGCCCCACAUGGCGGGAGUAAGGAGAGCUGAUAAGAAACAGUGAAGCGAGAGCUCCCCAACCUGGAAGGCGUCACAUGGCCAAAUCAACCGGGAUAAACAGUCAACUCCACUUAAGGUUUUACAUAAAGAGCCUUGUAAAAUACAGAGA